UACGAAGGGGGCAAGCGUUGUUCGGAAUUACUGGGCGUAAAGGGCGCGUAGGCGGCGCGGGCAGUCAACGGUGAAAGCUUGGGGCUCAACCCCGAGUCGGCCGUCGAUACUCCCGGGCUGGAGCACUGUAGAGGCAGGUGGAAUUCCGGGUGUAGCGGUGGAAUGCGUAGAGAUCCGGAAGAACACCGGUGGCGAAGGCGGCCUGCUGGGCAGUAGCUGACGCUGAGGCGCGACAGCGUGGGGAGCAAACAGG
rnacentral:rRNA from 1 species